CCUACGGGAGGCAGCAGUGAGGAAUAUUGGUCAAUGGCCGAAAGGCUGAACCAGCCAAGCCGCGUGAGGGAUGACGGCCCUACGAGUUGUAAACCUCUUUUGUCGGGGAGCACAGCGACUCACGUGUUACUCAUUGAGAGUACCCGAAGAACAAGCAUCGGUUAACUCCGUUCCAGCACCCGGGGUAAUACGGGGGAUGCGAGCGUUAUCCGGAGUUAUGGGGUUUAAGGGGUGGGCAGGGGGAGGUGCAAGUCAGCGCGCAAGGGGCGGGGCUAAACUCCGUACUGCCGUUGAAACUGCAUACGUGGAGUGGGUGAGAGGUAAGCGGAAUGCGUGGUGUAGGAGUGAAAUGCAUAGAUAUCAGGAAGAACUGCGGUGGCGAAGGCGGCAAACCGGCGCGUAACUGACGCUCAGGCACGAAAGCGUGGGUAGCGAACAGGAUUAGAUACCCUAGUAGUC
rnacentral:rRNA from 1 species